CAAACUGUUGACAUUAAUGGCGGCUGUUUUCCACAACCAGUUGCUUUGAAGUCAAAUGAGAUUGCACUGUAAAGCCAUAGAGUACCUUCCAUUGUACUGGAUACUUUUUUAAAUAUUUCCCGCGUUUCUUUUUUCAAAUAAUAACAUCAUAAGGUUCCUAUUGCAAGAAUUUUAUUACAAUCAACACGGAUCAGACGUGUCUGUCAGCACAUUGGAAGGAUUCCCACGUAAUCUGAACCUAUGCUGCGCCGUAAAUCGCAUCAAAGAAUAUAAAUACAGUAUAGGUGGUUCGUUCCAUUUGUUUAUGAAUGAAUGAGUACACUUUAUUUGCAUUGUACAAUAUAAGGAAUA